AUUUUAUUUAUAAUACUUGUAGAUACGAUUUUUGGGUAUUUGCGCAUACAUGUAACGUUGCGCUCUUAUGAAUUGUUAUAUUUCCCGUUUUUAAAGUUUUAUGACGUUUAGCCUUUUACGUACGUUACGUUGUCUAGUUUUUAUUCAUUGCAAGUUAUUUGAUAUUCGGAGACACAUCAUUAUUUUAUAGAGAGAUCAUAAUCGGUAAGAGAUAAUUUAUG
rnacentral:lncRNA from 1 species